rnacentral:lncRNA from 1 species
GUUGUGUGCUUCUGUGUGUGCAUAGUACACUUAUGGGGGAAGGGGUUAGGAAUAGGAGCAGUCAAUCUCCCUAACCUCAAGGUUAAGCUGAGCCAUGCAGUUAUGAGAAUUAACCAACCACCUACCUCUGAGUCUUUAGGAACUUCCCUGUGUCACAAAAUCUUGUAAAUUUUGUUAAUAACCACCAGGUGAAUGAAAUAAUUUUUAUGCUUUAUUGUAAAUAACAGGUCAGUGUGAAGCGAGACCAGUGCGACCUCAUGACUCGUCGCUGUCUGCUCCCCUGCACAAGCAGUAUAUGUUUGUUACUCCAUCUCUUUUGUCAGCCAUCUGCAGCCUUUUAGACAACCUCUUGGCUGUUACUCCAAGAGAUGCUGCAAAUGCAUUGCAACAAGCCCAUCUCAUAGAGCUUCUGUGUAGUACUGUGGAUGCCUCUGUCAUAGAGAUGUGUAUCCAGGAACUCAAGACCCCGCCACCAUUCUCAUCUGCUGUUGAGCAUAUUCUAGCUCAGGCUUCCUUUCUCUUGGAGUACCUGUCCUCUUUGUCCCAGCUUUUGCAGUCCUGUCUGUUGGUAGAUCCUAACCUUGUGACACAGGAGGAGCUCCUGAAACCUCUUAUCACCAAUGUCAUCCGAGUUCUCAUUGUUUGCACCAAAGAUGUAUUAGAUGCACAGUUAGUAUCGGCUUUUCAUCGCACAUGGACGCAUUUAUUUGACCUUCUGGCCACAUUCCUGAGGAAAGUUGGUGUUGUUUCCUUGCUUCUUAUUACCUCAACUGUUGCCAAGCACUGGGAGGCAGUGAUUGAUACAUUGUGCAGAUGUGUAGGUUUGUCAGUCAGGUGUCCUGCCCUGAGUAUUGCCAGCCUCCAGUUCCUGUCUGUCCUUUUGGCGGAGGAAGAAAAGAGGCGUCUCCAGGACAAGGACAGAGCAAAUGCAUGCCAGGUCCCAACAUUGGCUUCACUUCUUGAUGGAGCUCAGGAAAGUCAUAAAUCUUCAGAGCGACUUAAUGAAACAAUUCUUCAGUGCUAUGAAGGAAAAUCCCCCAAAGAUUUCUUGAAAAGAGUUGCUGCAAAUGCAUUGAUGUCACUUCUGGCUGUCAGCAGAAGAGCGCAGACGCAUGCUUUGAGAGCUGACCUCAUAGAGAACUGCAUGGAGCGGAUGAAGCAUAUCACCGCACAACUGAACCUGGAUGUGCUGAGGCCUGGGAAGGCAACACUGAAAAAAAAGGUGGCAGCUCUUGAAGCACGUCUUGUGCCCAUUCUGCACUCUCUUUGGCCUUGGCUUUUGAUGGAGGAUUCACUGAUGCAAAUUGCUUUGCAGUUGCUUUGUGUCUAUACUGCUAAUUUUCCAACUGGCUGCAGUUCUCUUUGUUGGUCAAAUUAUGGACAAUCUGUUCAAACUGCCCACAGGGGCACUCCCAGCAGCUCCCUGAUACUGUGUAUCCUGAAGCUUGCUUCUCAGAUGCCUGCAGAGAACACCACCAUUCAGCAGAUGGUUUUUAUGUUUCUUUCAAACCUGGCCUUAUCUCAUGACUGCAAGGGAGUAAUUCAGAAGAGCAACUUCCUACAGCACUUCCUGUCCCUGACAUUGCCUAAAGGAGGAAAUAAACAUCUCAGCAAUCUGGCCAUUCUGUGGUUGAAGUUACUCCUAAACAUAUCAUUUGCAGAAGAUGGACAGCAAAUGAUCCUGAGGCUGGAUGGCUGCUUAGACUUACUCACAGAGAUGAGCAAAUACAAGCAUAAGAGCAGCCCUUACAUACCUCUGCUGAUUGUUCAUAACAUUUGCUUCAGUCCUGCUAAUAAGCCCAAAAUCCUGGCUAAUGAAAAAAUUGUUACCCUUCUGGCUACCUGUUUAGAAAGUGAGAAUCAAAAUGCCCAGAGGAUUGGAGCUGCUUCACUUUGGGCUCUUAUUUACAAUUAUCAAAAGGCAAAAGCAACUUUGAAAAAUCCAUCAAUAAAAAGAAGAGUAGAUGAAGCAUAUUCCAUAGCAAAGAGAAGUAAGUUCCAAGAGAGUACAAUUAAAUUUGAUGAGUCCUAACUGAAAUUUUUGGUUUCUGAAAUACUUGAACAGGCCAUUGCAAAAUG